CUAUAACACAAUAUAAUGUAACACCAUCUGAACUGUAGUGGUAAGCCCAGUAGUAUGUAAUACCGUAGAGCAGCCUAGUAGUGUGUUACAUAGCAGUAUGUACUACUGUAGUGCUGUACGUAGAAUGUAAUGAGCUAUACGUUAGUAUGCAGCAAGUAGUCUGUAAUAAAAGUAUACAGCAGUAUGUGAUAAGUAUAGUAUGUAG